UACGGAGGGUGCAAGCGUUAAUCGGAAUUACUGGGCGUAAAGCGCGCGUAGGUGGUUCAGUAAGAUGGGUGUGAAAUCCCCGGGCUCAACCUGGGAACUGCUUUCAUAACUGCUGAACUAGAGUACGGUAGAGGGUAGUGGAAUUUCCUGUGUAGCGGUGAAAUGCGUAGAUAUAGGAAGGAACACCAGUGGCGAAGGCGACUACCUGGACUGAUACUGACACUGAGGUGCGAAAGCGUGGGGAGCAAACAGG
rnacentral:misc_RNA from 1 species